rnacentral:rRNA from 1 species
AGUGCACCACCAGGAGUGGAGCCUGCGGCUUAAUUUGACUCAACACGGGAAAACUUACCUGGUCCUGACACUAGAAGGAUUGACAGAUUGAUAGCUCUUUCUUGAUUUGGUGGAUGGUGGUGCAUGGCCGUUCUUAGUUGGUGGAGUGAUUUGUCUGGUUAAUUCCGAUAACGAACGAGACUCUAGCCUAUUAAAUAACACACAGAAUCAUGUCUUCUGUGGCGUUCCUUAAUGGGAUCAAGUGUGUUUAACACUUUGAAACAGAGCAAUAACAGGUCUGUGAUGCCCUUAGAUGUUCGGGGCUGCACGCGCGCUACACUGAAGGAAUCAACAUGCUUCUCAACCUUGUCCGGAAGGACUAGGUAACCCGUUGAAACUCCUUCGUGAUUGGGAUAGGGAAUUGCAAUUAUUUCCCUUGAACGAGGAAUUCCCAGUAAGUGCGGGUCAUCAGCUCGCGCUGAUUACGUCCCUGCCCUUUGUACACACCGCCCGUCGCUACUACCGAUUGGAAGUAGACGA